rnacentral:rRNA from 1 species
UUCUUUUUGGUUUUUUAAAAAGUAAAACCUGCUCAAUGAUUUUUUAAAUAGCCGCGUUAUAACCGUGCUAAGGUAGCAUAAUAAUUUGUCUUUUAAUUAAGGUCUAGAAUGAAUGGUUAAACGAAAGAUUAGCUUUUUUAAUUUAAUUAAAUAAAAUUUUAUAUUUUAGUUAAAAAGCUGAAAUAUUUUUAUAGGACGAUAAGACCCUAUAGAAUUUUAUUUAAAAAAAUUUAUUUUAUAUUUAUAAAUAAUAAUUAAAUAAUUUUUAUAAAUUUGGUUGGGGCGACUUUUAUAUUUUACAAACUAUAAUAUUUUAUAUUUUCAUUAAUUAGUGAAUUUUUGAUCCUUUUAUUAAGAUUAAUAGAAUAAAUUACCUUAGGGAUAACAGCGUAAUUUUCUUGGGGAGUUCUUAUUUAUAGGAAAGAUUGCGA